UACGAAGGGGGCUAGCGUUGCUCGGAAUUACUGGGCGUAAAGCGCACGUAGGCGGCUUUCUAAGUCGGGGGUGAAAUCCUGGAGCUCAACUCCAGAACUGCCUUCGAUACUGGCGAGCUCGAGUUCGGGAGAGGUGAGUGGAACUGCGAGUGUAGAGGUGAAAUUCGUAGAUAUUCGCAAGAACACCAGUGGCGAAGGCGGCUCACUGGCCCGAUACUGACGCUGAGGUGCGAAAGCGUGGGGAGCAAACAGG
rnacentral:rRNA from 1 species